AGAUAACGCACACGUUUUUGAAGACAUCUAGUUUUUUUGAUUUUUUUUCAUUUAUUUUAAGAUAGAUUUCAAAACUCAAUCUAACUAUCAUACAGCAAACUAUUGUACAAGUCAUUCACUUAAAAUCGGCGAGUUCGUCAUGCACGCUUCGGGUUUUUAUACUUUUUGUGCUUAUCGCUACGCUCAGAAUUUAAAGUACCUACGCUGUAUUGUACGUUGAAUACUGAAAUAUUCGUUAAGUUAAGUUAGGGUAUUAACUGUUUACAUGUUACCUCUGAAAGCCAAUAGUUAGGCUUCAAAACAAAGAGCACCAAUGUUGAUUAUAUAAACGAAAAUGUGUAGACAACAAUUUGGAUACAUCCAAAUACUAUAAUAUACUAUAUAGUAUUUGAUAUACCAUAUUUUCCUCCUCGCCGAAUGAAAGUGAUGAAGACAGCCAGAAUCUAUUUUACAGCUAGCAGUUUCCGCAACUAACUUAUAGGUUGUAUUUACACCUUGUAUGCACAAUUAAGUCAUACAUGUUUUUGAUAAAGGCAGUUUAAAUCAGGUUUAAGAUCGUGCAUACUUUCCUUUGAUGUAAAUGAUGAAACUAAAGAACAAUGGAGGACUGUUUUUUUAUCAGAAUUAUAUCUUUGAUCGUGCAUACUUUCCUUUGAUGUAAAUGAUGAAACUAAAGAACAAUGGAGACUGUUUUUUUAUCAGAAUUAUAUCUUUGAUCGUGCAUACUUUCCUUUGAUGUAAAUGAUGAAACUAAAGAACAAAGGAAGACUGUUUUUUUAUCAGAAUUAUAUCUUUGAUCGUGCAUACUUUCCUUUGAUGUAAAUGAUGAAACUAAAGAACAAAGGAAGACUGUUUUUUUAUCAGAAUUAUAUCUUUGAUCGUGCAUACUUUCCGUUUGAUGUAAAUGAUGAAACUAAAGAACAAAGGAGGACUGUUUUUUUAUCAGAAUUAUAUCUUUGAUCGUGCAUACUUUCCGUUUGAUGUAAAUGAUGAAACUAAAGAACAAAGGAGGACUGUUUUUUUAUCAGAAUUAUAUCUUUGAUCGUGCAUACUUUCCGUUUGAUGUAAAUGAUGAAACUAAAGAACAAAGGAGGACUGUUUUUUUAUCAGAAUUAUAUCUUUGAUCGUGCAUACUUUCCGUUUGAUGUAAAUGAUGAAACUAAAGAACAAAGGAGGACUGUUUUUUUAUCAGAAUUAUAUCUUUGAUCGUGCAUACUUUCCGUUUGAUGUAAAUGAUGAAACUAAAGAACAAAGGAAGACUGUUUUUUUAUCAGAAUUAUAUCUUUGGUAAUUUACAUAGUGUUAAUGGUUUUUAUUUUUUUAAAGAAUUUAACUUUUUUACUUAUAAAAAUUGAUAAUCCUAAAUUGGAGUCGUAAGAUAUAUUAAUGUAUACAGUAUAACAUGCUGGUGUAGCCUUCAUAAAUAUUUUAACUAUUGUAGAUAAUUUAAAUUGAGAUUAAGAGACAUAUAAUAAUAUUGUAUAAUUUCUUACAAUGCGUUUAAUGUAUUUUAUAUUUU